UACGUAGGGGGCGAGCGUUGUCCGGAGUUACUGGGCGUAAAGCGCUUGUAGGCGGUCCACCAAGUUUGGGGUGACAGUUGCCGACUUAAUCGGCAAAGUGCCUCAAAGACUGGCGGACUUGAGGGUCACAGAGGGACAUGGAACUCCAGGUGUAGUGGUGAAAUGCGUAGAUAUCUGGAAGAACACCAAAGGCGAAGGCAGUGUCCUGGGUGGUCGCUGACGCUGAGAGGCGAAAGCCAGGGGAGCGAACGGG
rnacentral:rRNA from 1 species